GACGAACGCUGGCGGCGCGCCUAACACAUGCAAGUCGAACGAGCGAGAGAGAGCUUGCUUUCUCGAGCGAGUGGCGAACGGGUGAGUAACGCGUGAGGGAACCUGCCUCAAAGAGGGGGACAACAGUUGGAAACGACUGCUAAUACCGCAUAAGCCCACAGCUCGGCAUCGAGCAGAGGGAAAAGGAGCAAUCCGCUUUGAGAUGGCCUCGCGUCCGAUUAGCUAGUUGGUGAGGUAGCGGCCCACCAAGGCGACGAUCGGUAGCCGGACUGAGAGGUUGAACGGCCACAUUGGGACUGAGACACGGCCCAGACUCCUACGGGAGGCAGCAGUGGGGAAUAUUGCACAAAUGGAGGAAACUCUGAUGCAGCGACGCCGCGUGAGCGAAGAAGUAUUUCGGUAUGUAAAGCUCUGUCAGCAGGGAAGAUAAAUGACGGUACCUGACCAAGAAAGCCCCCGGCUAACUACGUGCCAGCAGCCG
rnacentral:rRNA from 1 species